AUGGCUGAUUGUGACCCAGAAUGGAGGAAGAAUAUUCCAGUCUUCAGCUUCUUGAUUUUAACAGGCCUCCUCAGCCUGAUGGUUCCCUCACUUUUUGCCUGUAAAGGGGAAGUUAAUUCAUUUGAAAUUCACCAUCAGUUUGAUGGUGCUGUCAGCCCAUCCAUCAACGUGCUCCUCUCCCCCCUGGCAUACCCAGUCCUCAGGUUGUGCCUCCUCCUUGCCACCAGAUUGGAUUAUCCACGCCCACAGUUAGCCAUCAGUUUUGCAUGCAUCACACCAGUUGUGUAUCCCACUCCUACUCUUCGUCACAGAUACGAGUUCACCGAGCCUAUCCUUGCUGCUGACCUCAGACCUGCAGCUGGAACCACAAGUGGGGUCUCUUGGCCACCCUCGGGGUCCCUGCAGCUAUAGAAUGUGUGACAGGGCCAAGCUGUCACAGCCUUGCUCCAAAAACCAAACCAGAUGGAUGUCAUAGAACAGAGAGGAUGUGCCGGUGUAGUAAGUGCUGCAUGCACCCACAAGUGUGUGCUCUUAGUGUGCCUGGUGUUUCUUGCCCGUGGAGGAGACAUACCUAGAGAAGAACAGCAGGAAAACAAGGCACAGCAAACUCUGUGUUUCCCAGAGGUAUCAUUCCUAAUGAAACUGUCAUGAAGCUCAGCUUUCCUUGGUUUGGAUUUGGGGAGCUUUUGGGUUUCAGUUGAUGUUAGCUAAACCUGAAAUAAGACCAGGGAAGUGCUGCUUUUUCUUUGAUUCUGAAGGACAAGGGCUGGUGCCAGCAGUAACACAUCGGGGUGCAGGUGCUGGGUGUUGCAGGGCUUUUGUGAAAGGAACAAGCUCAGGGAAGUCCAUGUCUGGAAAUGCUGCUGGAUGGCUGGGUCCCUGUGUCACUGGGUCCCACUGCACUGAUGUAUGUACAAUGUAUGUACAAUGACAAUAUAACAGCUCCUGCAAGGCCCAGGCUCAGUGGCAUUACACCUUUCUCAGAGGCCUGGGAGCCUUCUUUG
rnacentral:lncRNA from 1 species